GCGCUCGGGCAAGAUGGCGGCGAGCAGGGCGGGUGUUUUGGCUGGACGGCGGCGGGCGAGGGCAGAGGCGCGCUGGAGUCGAGCAUGUGGGGGCCGCGGUGAGGCGAGGGCCCCGGUUCCUCCCCAGCGCGGGCCGGGGCGUGCGCUCGCCCCUGCGGACGCAGCCUGGAGGAGCGGGGGGGCAGGCGGGCCCCGGAGCGGGAUUAGGGCACGGCGUCGGCGGGAGGACGGCUCCUGAUGCAAUAGGCGUGCCCGAGAGUGCUGGCGCUCGUACGCUGCGCAGGGGUCUGGAUGUUUCCAGCAGCGGCACAGCAGCCUGAUGCCUCCUCUCGUCUGGGAUGCGGGGCCCUUGUUCGCCCACCUCCCCACCUGAGGGUUACCGAGCAGGCACAGUCGACUUCCUUUCCGAGGGCUGUGAUGCCGGGCUUCGUGCUGGUGUGUGAACUGCUGCUGUCUGUGCUUAGUGCAAAAAAGAGUAACUAAGACAGACCUUUGUGGUGAGAACCCUUGAUAAAGUUCUGUCGGGAACGCAUCCCGCUGUCCUCGAUAGAAAAGCCACCCUAGAUCUCAAGUUUGAUUCGGUAACUGAUUAAAUGGAUUCUGGUUUAGAUCACGAAUAUAUCACAUAGUCAAAAUUGUGCAAUAUUCUCCAUGAACAGUUAAAGUGAUUAUUUCAUUUUAGACCUUGAAUAAGGAGAUUGAAUGAGCUGGUAAACAUUACUUGGUGUUAAGAUGGUAUGAAAAUUUAAUAUCUUUAUUCUUCAGUCUCGGUGCUGCAGGAGUCUCUCUCUCAUCCUGGUAGAUAAUAUUAAUUGCUGUUUCUCUACCUAUGGAGCAUAUGAGAUUUGCCAUGCAAGCUCAGAAUGAAUGCAGUUAUCCAACAACCUUACACAUUUAGAAAAUACUUUCUGCAGCCAAGACAUAUAGCAAUGUUAUAGCGUAUGUACAACCUAAAAAGACGGUUUCCAGAGAUGUAUAUGUAUACAAGUUUCAGCCUUCUGGGUGUGUGACUAUUCAGAGACUCCCAGCGAACUGUGUCCAGGUUAGCCUGUAGCCAAACAGGCAGACCCAGCACACUGUGCCUGUGGUGUGUUCAAGCCUAAAGAGACUUCAGGUGCACUGUCAUCACCGGGUAUCAUGCUGACACGGUGUCCACAAGGGGUGGAUCUUUUCUGGGCAAUUCACAGCUGCUCUUAGACUACCAAAUAGUCAGAAUCCUAUACGGAAUUAUUAAUGGUUUUGCUACUGGAAAAAAAGAGAAAGACAGAGUACUUGAUCUGCAUAUUCAUAGCCUGAAAGAACAAAAAAGAUAUGGGAUACAGAAAAAAGAAAGAGGAUAAUAAUUUAUUUAAACAUAAAAACAACAUUAAACUACUGCUUCAUUGUUCUACUACCUUUGGCUCACAGAGCUUAAGUUCCUGGGGAAGCAUGGUAAGGGGAUGAAAUAGGAUUUUUUUUCAGUUUUUUUUUAGUAGCAGACUAGUGAAGGUGAUAUGAUCAAGGUCCCUAAUCUUUUUUUUUUUUCCUCUACCCAAGAAAACUCAGAAGGAUACAUCACUGCUUUGACAGAGAUGGGGAUAAAACAAAAUCAAAAAAAAAAAAGAGCUCCUUUUUCAGGAGCAAUUCCCACUUACUGUGAUUUGAGCUCCUUUUUCAGGAGCAAUUCCCACUUACUGUGAUUUAAGCACCCACUCUGAAGUUCUGGGACUAAGUACAUGGUCCAUAUGCUCUGACUACAAAAAACACUGUCCACAGAGAGCAAGGUCACUGUGAUUACCUAUGUAAAGUUUCCUUCAGGAUGCCCGUUAUCUGGAGAAACCCGUUGUUGCACAUGAUCUAUCUUAUAUUUUCUCAACAUAUAAUACAGCGAUUUCUCAACAUAUAAUACUUGAAGACCAAUAUAAAUAUUGUGUAGAAUGAUACUUUCUAAGUCAUUAAUUUUAAAUCAUAAAUCAAAAAUAUUUUAAAAAGAGAGAUUUGUUCUGCAUUGUCAGAGAAUAACUACUUCUAAAAUAAACUAAAAAGGCUCUAUAAAUGAAUAAAUUUUGCAAUUUUUUGCCUUCAAUAGUGUUCAAAGGUUAAAAAUGAAUUAAAAUUGUAAAAUAAGUGCACUAGCUACUUAUUUCAUUUAUUUUAUCUUUCCCUUUCCUCCUUUGAAUACUCUUUUCCUUAAAUUGUAUUUUCCAGAUAUUGCUAUAUUCCAGUUGUACUUUCUCUUUUUCUAAUAUUCUCUUCGUAAGUAUCCCCUUAAAGCACUUUAAAAAGUAUCUGACGAAUAUCGCUGUUUCUCUGUAUUAUGUGAAUGAUGUUAAUUAUCUUUACUUUUUAAUGGUUUAAAAAUUCAACUUCCCUAACUAAGAGUAUGUUUUUAAAAAAGUAGCGAUUGCACAGGGGAUGCUCCCAUUUUCUAUUUUUGCUUUUCUAGAUUAACGUUCAAAUAUUUCCUGAUAGAAAUGUAUGUUUUUGCAGGUGGAACAUUCCUCUGAUAGGUACAUUUGGUAUUGAAAUGAGUUAGUCCCGUAUAAAUCCUGGCAUAGGACUUUCUUCACUAGUUUUAGAUGGAUCUCUUCUUUCUCAAAGGUAUGGCACUAGGUGAGAAAAAGGUGCCGUCAACCUGUAGUUAUAUUUAUACCCGUCGAGGGGUGGGGAUCUUUAUGUAGAAAGGGGACACACAAAAGUGUAGCGAAGGGGCAUAUUUUUCUAAAUGUGCCCAGGAAACCUAUGAGAUAGGUGACACAGAGAAUUCAGAGGCCUUAAAACAGUGUCACCAUUUGAAAAGCAAAUUAUAAGCUGCAGGAGUGUGUGCACUCCUGCAAUGCUUAACAUAACCACAGUCUUCACUUUGAAGUAUGCCUGACUAUUGGCUUACAUCCCGUUUUCAUGUAGCAAUAUCCAAGGUAACACAAAUCUGGCUCCAACUGUAAUGUACGUAGGAGACAGCGAGUAUUAAGACACCAAAGAAUUCAAAAUGUUUGAAUCUGGAAGGACGAAAGAACAGCGUACUCAGUGAUCAGCCUUUCAGGUGAAGGAGACAACAGCUGUGGUUUUGGUCCCUGUUCCCUUGAUUAUUUCUGUAUGCAUGGGUUAGUGACUAUCUCAUCUAAUUAAAAAUAAACACUGUGAUCGAGGAUCAAAACUCACAGGUCCCUCUUUUCCUUGGCAAAGCCGUAACUAAAUGCUGUUGAAUAUGUGUGAUAUGUUAUGUGCAGAGCCCUUUAAGAUUCCAUCUGAUUUCUUUGAUCUUGUUUUAGGGUGCUUUCAGUGUAUUUCCAGUGAGCUAUAGUUUGCUCAAAUAUGUAUAUGUAUUUAUGUAUAUGUUAACAUAUAUAUGUUUUAAAUUCCUCUUCCCUUUGCAUUACUCUACUGAUUUUUUUUCUUAUAACUGUCUCCCAUGUCAAGAAGAUUUAACAAAAUGAAAAGUAUGUCUUCAUAGGAUAAAGACACAUUUUUGUUAGUUACCGUAAUACAGACAUGAAAGGAAAGAUAAAAGAAAAGAGAAGUAGUUCUUCAGAUAAAGUCCGUUAAGUAUUCAUAAUGUGAUGACAUAGGUGAUUGUGAUAUUAUCUAGACAGAAGAGCUCUGCCGAAGGUAGCUUUCAGACAAUUAUAUUGGUAAAAAGAAAAACUGGUAAAAGCUGAUGAAGUCAUUAAAUUUUCAAAAGUUACAAAUUAUCCUGUAAAGCUUCAGUGACUGCAAAUUAGCCUUUGCUAUAGCCCUCUGCUAACAAGCUAUAGAUCAUUUUAUUAUUCAUGAAUUUUAGUAAUUUCAGGACACCACAGGUCAUCUUAUGCUCAUUUAUUUGCUAAACACCUUGUGCUGGUAUGCCUAUGCUGAAAAAUUGCUACUAUUUACUUCCCGUGAGACAAGCAAGCAACAAACUGGUGGAUUUGGCCCCAGACAUCCACUCUGCCAGGCAACAUAUACAUCUUGCUGUCAGUGAAAUAAAUGAGCCCUUAAAUUGGCUGCAAAGCUUUAAGAGCUGAAAUUUGUAUGUCUAGUUAUCAAACAGCAAGUUCAGAACACCUGCCAAUAUGAAACAUAAUUAUGACAAGCUGUUACAUUUUACCUUUAACUUUUCAGCUUUAACACCACAACUUCAUUAUAAGAAUCUCCUCCUCCCUGCCCCUCCUUUCUCCCUUCCCCCAGACUCAGCUCCCCUCCCAAAAAACGCUCACUGCAUUCCAUUGUAAAUGCUGAGUUAACGCUAAUACACUGGGUCAUCUAUCAGCAGACAAAAAAAAAAGUCAGACAUAUUAAAAAUGCUAGGAUUCCUCCUAAGAAUAACCACAAAUUUUCACAGAUUACCAAAAAUGGCUAACUGUGUGUAGAUACCUGACCUUUAUAACCGCCUUUGAAGGCUUUUCAGAGAAAGUCAAAAAUCAUGAAACAGACUUACAGAUUCCUUGUUUUGUUUUUUACUUGAAAAAAUCGAUUCAAUUACUUCUAUCUUAUUUCACUGACCGACUUCAUUAUCUUUCCUUUUGGGUCGCAGAGCCCUACGGCACAGGUUUUUGCCACAACAAAUCCAACAAUUGAUAAGCUGUUUGCUGUUUAUCCAAAUGUUCAUGGGAGGGCAAAAAAAGAAAAAAGCCACCAAAAAUAAAUGUUACUCUUCUUUAAACCCACUUUAAACUAUGCCCUGUGUGCACUAUAACUAAAUAUCUUCCCUUGUGUGCAUGUAUACCUCUGUGUUACAAACCACAAACAGCUAUGUGAGAAGAACACUAUUUAAAGGAAAGACUUUCUUCUUAGCUGUCAAGGAAGAUAAUAUCUAGGCUAAAAUUCAUUUCAACAUUUUUUAUAGAUAUAUAUAUAUAUGUAUAUAUACACAUAUACACACAAUAUGUAUAUAUCAAUAUGAAGAGCUUAAAAAUUACAACCCUUGACCAAUUGCACCCUUCUGGUCAAUAAAGUAAAUAUGAGCAAUAUGAGAAACAAAUCAAAUGUAUGAACUUUACCUCUUUUAUUACUUUGACCAUAUUAUUUCUUUUUUUAUAGCACCUGCAUACUGUAUUUUCAUUCAAGAAAUUUGAUUGCGGAUAAAGUAGUCCCUACAUGUCAUAGCAAAAAAAUGACACACUAGCCAAAGUUUAAGUCAAUGUAUUAGUCAAAACACACCUUCUUUUCUUCUUUUUCUGACCUUUUGCUACAGACAUAGAAAUCUCACAUAUAUUUUGGGGUUAACAGGACUUCAGCAGGGCAAUCUGUGUUUUAAGCAGGGUUUCUUGCUGGUUCAGAUAUAUUGUUUGUUCAGUGUUGGGAUCCUAUGUAUUCAUACUGCGUUUUCUGUGUUUUGUGUACUGAUAAUGAAUUAAAACAGCAGAAAAUCAUAUACGUAUAUUUUAAAUGUGACAUGUCUGAUUUCAUUUUAAUGUGAUUUGAAAUAUUUCACCCUGAAUUUAUAAAAAAAAUCAUUAGCACAGCUAUACGCAUUGUCUUUUCAUGAUUUUAAUUUCUUAUUCUUCAAUUAAAAAUAUGCUAAAAGCAGAUUUUGCUUAAAUUCUGAGAUAGUUUGGAUAGAUUUAGGACCAAAUUGUGGCUGCUUUCUGUGUGCAAGCUUUGACUAGAAAGGUGACACAAACAAACAUUUCUACCUGGUUUUCAAGGAUAUGUCAAUAAGGUCUAUUCACACCAGUGCACCAUUUAGCACCACCAGCGUUCAUGGAAAUCCAGAAGUAGCACAUGCCUCUGUUCACAGAAAUCUCAGCCAGCUUUCUCUGAUGCCUCGUACAACCAUCACUGCAGCCACCACUGUCGAGCUAAUUCAACUCUUCCAAAAAUCAGCAACUGCUGAUAAAUUCUUGUCUUAAUAUAAAAGUUGUGUUUCAAUUUUAUCCAUAAUCAUAAUUUUGAGCAUAACAAAAACAAGAGUAAUAUUCAUAUCAAACAUAAAAAGCAUGUGGUGUAUGUGAAUCCUUAUGCCUUAUCUCUGCUGCAUUUACCUAUUGGUAAAUGAUUCUGACUCUCACCUGAGUCAGAACCCAAAUUCGGCAUGUGCUGCUUAUUCGGGUUGUACAUAGAUUUGCUGGGAAUGGUGACAGAAAGGAGAGAAAACAAGGAUUCGCCUGGUCCAGGUUAGAUGUGUUUUGGCUGCCUCCUAGGCGGUGAACCCAGGUUUAGUCUCUGUCAAACACUGGAGUAAAUGGGUCAAAGUGGUGUGUGCCAGACUUGGGAACCAAUUUAAAUUCCCAGAUUAUUUAGGUUAAGUGUAGUCAGACACAUCAGAAGACAGCUGCUUUAGGACUUGUCUCACCUAUCGUUCAACUACUCCGAGUUUCCAGUUCAUGUGUGGUCGUCGACAGUUCAGAUGUCUAAAUUUGUUUUUAUAAAACAAAUCUGAAUUUUUGUAAUUUGAGAGAUUUUACUGUUACCCUGUAAUACAGUAUGGGCAUUGCUAGCUCCUGGCCGUAAGCUUCGCACUGAGUUUGCACAGCCUCGGGACUGAGGCUGGUCAGGCUUGGCCCGAGUUUUGUCUGAACUCGUCUCGCCUGCAGCUCUGCUUCCCUCGGCUUAGCUGGGGCAGCAGUUUUUCUAACUGCCCGGAUGGCGAUGGCUAUUUUAUUUUACUUGUGUUUAUCUUUGUACGGUAGAACCAUAGGUUGAUAAACAAACAGGACAACAAAAAAUGCACAUUUAACUUAUGUAAAAGGCCCCAAACACCAGAAAUUCAUAUCCAACACAGAGCUGCAGACCAAUGAAGAAAGAAUGAUGUAAAAGCAUACUAGAAAACAUAUAAAAAUAGCCGCAGAUGAAUCCUAGAGUGAGUAGGAGGAAACCAUCACCAUGAACAUCAUAUUCCUCCCGGCGAAGGAGCCCAGAUGCUGACAGCUCGCUCUAACACCCACCGUCAUCCCGCCAUAAAUGAACCACAGACCUAGGACCUACGGAGCAACGGAAGGGUGAACAUAAUACUGGGAAAAGAGUAGAAACUCUGAAGUGUAACAAUUUUAACAGUAUUAUUAUUAUUAUUAUUAUUGAGGCUUUUUUGGUGUAUAGAACCCUUCUUCUCAUGUAACAAUUUCUUCUGGACGAAUAACGAUCCUGCAUUUAGACCGUUAAGAUUCCCACUAUAUUAACACUAAAUUCUUGGCUUUAUAUGUAAGGUAUGUUUCCUCUUUGCCCAUAAACAAGAUUUUGAGCAUAACACUAUUAUUUAUUUUGAUCCUAGUAAUAUUAUAUGUUAACAUAUAGGCAAAAUAUCAUAAUUAGCAAAUUAAAAAAGUGUAAGUGGUUGAGAAUAUAGGCAGGAUACAUUUAUAUUCUCUUUUAGGCAUGUGAUCCCUGUCUUUAAACCUAAUGUCAAUCCAAUGUGUUUUGGCUAUUUCAUAUCUGUCAUGAAAAUCUAUAGAGUUUAAUGAGGCUCUGAGAUUCUCUGGAUGAAUAAAAAAAAUAGAAACAUACAGAAAUUACAGUAAAAAAAUCAAAGAAAUCUGAGAAAAGGAAUAAAUGGGCAUGUUAUUGAUUCUGUAAAAACAAAUUGUAAGUGUUUUUUCCUCCCUUGAGUACUGCAUUGACAGAGAAGAACAGAGCAAUAGAAAAGUAUAAAAUAAGCCCUGUAGGUAUCUUUAAGAGUCUACCUUUCUGGUUGAAGAGCAAAAGCUAUAACUGGUCGUUUCCUGUUCUUCUGAAUUUGGCAAGUGUUAUUUUCGGUUUCUGGGUUUUGUUUUGCUUUGUUUUUCCCACAGGGUUGUUUUUUACCUGGGAGGUUUUAGUAAAACUUUUCUCCUUGGGCUUUGGGUUCAACAAUCUAAUGUAAGCUGCCUGGGCUAAGUUUUAUCCUAUGCAACACUUGUAAGUUUGCACUAAAUUUACAGAAUUAAAUCCAUUAGACUCAGUUCUAAAAUAGAAAUUAUUUUUAAAUUGUCUUCAUUACUCUUUGAAAGUUGUGAAUUUGCACAUGAUUUUUUUGUGUUGCUGUUAAAAUGAAUUUUACCUUAAUAACUUUCAUUUAAAAUACUUCUAAUUGAAUGAUUUUAAUCCAGGGAAUCUGACUAAACUUUGGAAGGAAUUUUCUGUGUUGAUCACUUAGAGAUAAGCAAGAUAGCACUUGUGAAUCAAUGAGAGCAACGAUGACCUCCAAUAUUAGUGCUUACUUGCGUUUGCCAUCUAAUACGGUUUUAAAUCAGUUUCUGAACUUACUGAACAGAAUACAUUCAAUUUGUAAAUGCUGGUGAAUGUUCAAGUGAAAAAUCUCAGUAGAUAGUGGGAAAGCAGAAAAAAGAUUUACGAUUACUAUGAAAGAGCUUAAGUACUGAGUCAUAAACAUAGAAUCUUUUUUAUUCAGAGUUGUUGUAUGAAGACAACUUUUAUCGAAUGUCAAUAUGUCUUUAACAGACCAGCUCAUCCUGCAGUAUAAUGGUUUAUCAUUACUACUGAAUGCCCCGAAAUACAAACAGAUAACUAAAAUUCUCAGGCCUCAUUUUCAGGUACCUGAGGGUACUUUACACUGUUCUAUGAAUAGAAGUGUACUGAAGCUUAGUAAUAUAAAUGAAAAAAUAAUUUCUUAUUUUUUUCUUUGCUUCAGUAAUAGAACAGAAUAAGACACCAGUGGAGUUCUCUAUGAAUAUUAAUGUUCAGGUUAGAAGCAUAAUCCUGAGAUAUAUCUGUACAAGACACACAGUACCAGACUCUUCUUAAAGUCAAAGCUUUCAUUUAUUAUUAAAAUUUCAGCAAAUAUUAUUUGGGGUGCUAAAUGAGAUUAUAAAAAAAAAUUGAAGAUCCAUGAUCCUUAUCCCAUUGACUUCCAUAGAUUUGUCAUGUCCCCACUCUCUUUCUCUCUCGUUUUUCUCUUUCUCUCUCUUUUCCCUUCCCCUUCCCCUUCCCCUUCCCCCUCCUCUUCCACUUCCCCUUCUCUUUCCCCUUUCCCUUUCCAUGCCUCUUCUCCAUGCAAUUCUUAACUGUUAGGUAGUAGGCAAAAAACUCUUGAAAGAAUUGGGUUUAAGAAGUCCAAUUGUGUAGUAAGAUGGAAUUGUGGAGGAAAUGAUGCCUUGUAAGUCAAUAGACUAAUACUGUAAAAAGCUAUCAAUCAGCCAAGCUUUAUUUCUUUAUUUCUACUGAGAGAAAAAUAUUUAAGAUACUACUAAGAGUAAUCCCAGUGAGAUAAGCUCUAUAUACUAAUUUAUAAAGCAUAAUAAAAUAUUCUUUAAUGAA